rnacentral:rRNA from 1 species
GCUUUACUGUAGCCUGGUAUUGAAGUCAAGUCUAUCAUGUGCAGUAUAGGUGGGAAGCAAAGAAAGUAUAUUUGCGGAUAUACCAGAGCUAGCAGUGAGAUACCACUCUUGAUAAACUAGACUUCUAAUUUGGGAUGCCAUUAUCUGGCCAAAAGACAUUGCCAGGUGGGCAGUUUGACUGGGGCGGUCGCCUCCUAAAAGGUAACGGAGGCGUGCAAAGGUUUUCUCAGACUGGUCGGAAAUCAGUCGUAGAGUGUAAAGGCAUAAGAAAGCUUAACUGCGAGACCUACAAGUCGAGCAGAGACGAAAGUCGGCCUUAGUGAUCCGACAGUGCUGAGUGGAAAGGCUGUCGCUCAACGGAUAAAAGUUA